AGCGAACGCUGGCGGCAGGCCUAACACGUGCAAGUCGAACGGAUCCUUCGGGAUUAGUGGCGGACGGGUGAGUAACACGUGGGAACGUGCCCUUUGGUUCGGAACAACUCAGGGAAACUUGAGCUAAUACCGAAUGUGCCCUUCGGGGGAAAGAUUUAUCGCCAUUGGAGCGGCCCGCGUCUGAUUAGCUAGUUGGUGAGGUAACGGCCCACCAAGGCGACGAUCAGUAGCUGGUCUGAGAGGAUGAUCAGCCACACUGGGACUGAGACACGGCCCAGACUCCUACGGGAGGCAGCAGUGGGGAAUCUUGCGCAAUGGGCGAAAGCCUGACGCAGCCAUGCCGCGUGAAUGAUGAAGGUCUUAGGAUGGUAAAAUUCUUUCAGCGGGGACGAUAAUGACGGUACCCGCAGAAGAAGCUCCGGCUAACUUCGU
rnacentral:rRNA from 1 species